UGGCACUGCCUUUUAUCGUGUGACCCUGCAGGCACUGGGAUUUCGGUGGGGAAGAUCCUGGGACACUUUAUGAGAAAAGAAAUGGUCUUAAUCUCUGAGGCACUGCACCAUGUAACUUUCACACAACAUUUUGGUGCAGCGAGCAGGGUGAGCUUUGCAAGGACAGCACAGGCCUGCUUCCUUGGGAUCGCUUCUCUGUUUCAGUGAUCGUCAGCUUAAGGAAAUACUAAACUUUGGGUUCCAGAUAAAAACUUGAAACUCCGACAUGGCCCCCCAGACAUACCUGGGAAUUGGAGAAACAAAUGAUGUCCCGCUUGAAUGGACUAAAACUGGCAGCAACAUGGAAGGAGAGACAAUCACUGCUGCCUUGGACAAAGGAAGUACACCUGAUGACUUGGGUUGGAUAAAGAAAUUGUGCCAUCAAGCGGAGGAACUGGUGAAUUAUACUCACCAGCAGAUGAAUGCCUCCAAUCUAUUUCUGGCAAUGAUGGCCCUUUUGACUGUCCAGACUCAAGGACAAAAAUAUAAAUAUUGAACUUAUAUUCCUAACCCUCCUUUACUUUGAGGUGUUGGUUGGAACAUACCAUUCCUAUUUAUGUUGGCUUCCCGGUCCUUAUGACAGCAGAGGGCUGUUCCAGCCUAAUGAAGAAGGCAUGGUAAUUUCUAAUUAUAGUACUGGGGUGAUUGGUCCUCCUAUAUGUUUUGGAGACCACUCCCAUUGCCUCAACAUGUCUAUUCAAAUGUGGGCUAGUCUAUAUAGACAUAAGCCUGAAAACAAAGAACAAAUAUCUGAAAUGUUUAUGUUAAGUGCUUACUCUCCAAACAAGGUCUGUAUUGAUAAGAUUUCUUCCAAUCCUGAAUUACCACCUUGUAAAAUGCAUAUGUUUUCAGAAUGAAUGCGUACAUUGGACCAAAUGUGAAGGAGAUUUUGCACAUAUGUUUAUUGAUACCACAGGUGGAGAAGUCAUGGAUUGGGGACCUAUGGCUUACUUAAGAUCAGACUUGUAAUCAGCUUUGUCUUUAAAAGUUUUUAUAUAACGAGAGUAAAGUGUCAGCUUCAGCUUCUGAGUAUAUUUCAUGGAUAAAUGGAGGGUCCCCCCACCCCCAUUACCUGGAAUUGCCACAUAUCCUAAACAAAUGCAUUUGUGGAAAAAUGCUGUAGCUUUACAACCUCUUAAGGCUUGGACAGGAGGAUUAUUUUUCCAUAACAGUCUCCAAGAAUAUGAAAUGAAGUUUGUGGUAAAUGACACCAAGUACUCAAGCCUGUUUACAACUUCCUUUUGUGUGUCUAAAAGGAAAUGUUACUUGAAAUAAAGUAACAGGAGAAUUAUUUUGCUCUACUUGCCAAUUGUUUACUUGUGUUAACAAUUCUUUGAGUUUUAAUCCAUCUAAGGAACAAUUGUACUUGCUGAGAGCUCACACCGGAGUUUGGCUGAUGAUCAACUUAAACAGACCUUGGCAGGA